rnacentral:tRNA from 1 species
GCUCGCGUAGCCUAAUUGGAUAGGGCGUCAGACUCUAAUCUGAAGAUUGCGGGUUCGAGUCCCGCCGUGAGUG